rnacentral:rRNA from 1 species
AUUGAACGCUGGCGGCAGGCUUAACACAUGCAAGUCGAACGAGUGGCGGACGGGUGAGUAAUGCUUGGGAAUCUAGCUUAUGGAGGGGGAUAACUACGGGAAACUGUAGCUAAUACCGCGUACCAUAGGAUGAGCCCAAGUGGGAUUAGGUAGUUGGUGAGGUAAAGGCUCACCAAGCCGACGAUCUCUAUCUUGUCUGAGAGGAUGACCAGCCACACUGGGACUGAGACACGGCCCAGACUCCUGCGUGAGGCAUCCGUGGGGAAUAGUGCGCAAUGGGGGCAACCUGACGCAGCCAUGCCGCGUGAAUGAAGAAGGCCUUAGGGUUGUAAAGUACUUUCAGUCGGGAGGCGUUACCUACAGAAGAAGCACCGACUAACUCCGUGCCAGCAGCCGCGGUAAUAC